rnacentral:rRNA from 1 species
GGGAUUGCCUUAGUAACGGCGAGUGAAGCGGCAACAGCUCAAAUUUGAAAUCUGGCUCCUUUCGGGGUCCGAGUUGUAAUUUGUAGAGAGCGUCUCGGGUGAGUCUGCGGUCCAAGUCUAUUGGAACAUAGCGUCAUAGAGGGUGAGAAUCCCGUACGCGACCGCGGCACGAGCCCAUGUGAGACCUCUUCGACGAGUCGAGUUGUUUGGGAAUGCAGCUCAAAAUGGGUGGUAAAUUUCAUCUAAAGCUAAAUACCGGCUGGAGACCGAUAGCGCACAAGUAGAGUGAUCGAAAGAUGAAAAGCACUUUGGAAAGAGAGUCAAACAGUACGUGAAAUUGUUGAAAGGGAAGCGCUUGCGACCAGACCUGCCCGUAGGUGAUCAGCCGCUGUUCUCAGCGGCGUACUCACUCUGCGAUCAGGCCAGCAUCGGUUCGGGCGGCCGGAUAAAGGCCCCGGGAAUGUAGCUCCCCCUCGGGGGAGUCUUAUAGCCCGGGGCGCCAUGCGGCCAGCCGGGACCGAGGACCGCGCUUCGGCUAGGAUGCUGGCGUAAUGGUUGCAAGCGACCCGUCUUGAAACACGGACCAAGGAGUCUAACAUCUAUGCGAGUGUUUGGGUGCCAAACCCAUGCGCGGAAUGAAAGUGAACGGAGGUGAGAGCCCUGGAGGGCGCAUCAUCGACCGAUCCAGAUGUCUUCGGAUGGAUUUGAGUAUGAGCAUAGCUGUUGGGACCCGAAAGAUGGUGAACUAUGCCUGAAUAGGGUGAAGCCAGAGGAAACUCUGGUGGAGGCUCGCAGCGGUUCUGACGUGCAAAUCGAUCGUCAAAAUUUGGGUAUAGGGGCGAAAGACUAAUC